rnacentral:rRNA from 1 species
CCUACGGGGGGCAGCAGUGAGGAAUAUUGGUCAAUGGCCGGAAGUCUGAACCAGCCAAGCCGCGUGAAGGACGAAGGUGCCAAGCAUUGUAAACUUCUUUUGUCAAGGGACAAAAUCAGGCUCGAGAGCCUGACCGAGUGUACUUUAAGAAAAAGCAUCGGCUAACUCCGUGCCAGCAGCCGCGGUAAUACGGAGGAUGCGAGCGUUAUCCGGAUUUAUUGGGUUUAAAGGGUGCGUAGGCGGACGGUUAAGUCAGCGGUAAAAGCCCGGGGCUCAACCCCGGCGUGCAGUUGAAACUGGCAGUCUUGAGAUGUCGAGAGGUAGGCGGAAUGCGCAGUGUAGCGGUGAAAUGCUUAGAUAUUGCGAAGAACUCCGAUUGCGAAGGCAGCAUACCGGAGGGGAUCUGACGCUGAGGCACGAAAGCGUGGGUAUCGAACAGGAUUAGAUACCCGAGUAGUC